AUUGAACGCUGGCGGCAUGCUUUACACAUGCAAGUCGAACGGUAACAGGCCUUCGGGUGCUGACGAGUGGCGAACGGGUGAGUAAUGCAUCGGAACGUACCCAGAGGUGGGGGAUAACGCAGCGAAAGCUGUGCUAAUACCGCAUGUGAUCUGAGGAUGAAAGCGGGGGACCGAGCAGCAAUGUUUGGCCUCUCGCCUUUGGAGCGGCCGAUGUCGGAUUAGCUAGUUGGUGGGGUAAAGGCCUACCAAGGCGACGAUCCGUAGCUGGUCUGAGAGGACGACCGGCCACACUGGAACUGAGACACGGCCCAGACUCCUACGGGAGGCAGCAGUGGGGAAUUUUGGACAAUGGGCGCAAGCCUGACCCAGCAAUGCCGCGUGAGGGAAGAAGGCCUUCGGGUUGUAAACCGCUUUUGGCAGGAACGAAACGGUGUCCGCUAAUACCGGGCGCUAAUGACGGUACCUGCAGAAUAAGCACCGGCUAACUACGUG
rnacentral:rRNA from 1 species